rnacentral:lncRNA from 12 species
CCUCAAGUCUGUCACCCUUUGAAGUGACUAUGACUGUGCUGGACCCAGGUUUUGAGGAAGAUGUACAGCACAAACACAAAGCAAAAGAAAGGAGAAUAACGCA